CACAACCCGCGUGAAGGAUUGCAGUGAAAAUCCUUUUUUAUCAUGCAGCGACAGCGGAAUGAUAAAAAAGAUUGCAACGAAAAGCCUGACCCGCC
rnacentral:sRNA from 1 species